GCGGCCCCUUUGACCGAAACAGGACGCUCGCCUCGAUUCAGAUCGGCCCGCCGAUGGCGUCGACGGCGGCUUUCGAGAAGGAUUGCCGGAUGCCGGAGGAGGCAGAGGCCGAUGCGUUGCUGGUACAGAAGGUGGGCGUGCUGCCCUCCGGGUUCCACGAUGCCUUCGUGCUCCGCUACAUCCGCGUCCACGCGUCUGGCCCAGCCGCCUCCUCUGCCACUUCACCGUCACCACCCGCCUCCUCAACUCGGGCAACUUCCUGCAAGGGGCGCGACUGCUUUGCUGGUUUACUUGAUGGGCUCUGUUGUACACCGCUGCGUCACAAACCAGGGUCUCACCAAUAGAGAUGAACAUCUACCUAGAUACUGCAUUUUCUGAUGUGGGUGACUAUCUUACUCAGUCGGAAUUGGAUGCGAAAUAAUACAUGUGGUGGUUCAUCAGCAUCACUUCUCAAGGUUGGUCUGUCAUGCCUAAAGCGGAUAUAGUGACUAGUUUGUUAUGUGCUUUGCAGGUUAGUCAUAUGGUUUGUAUAAUGGACCUAUAGCUCGUUCUUGUCUUUUUCAGGUUCAGAAAUCAGCGCAUUAUUAGUUGCUUCACUAUAUGCUUUGAUAUCCAGGUUACAACUAGGAUUUUCAUAUAACGGAUGGUUCACCAUAAUAGGAGCAUCACAAGACAUUGUAGUCAUUGGUGAAGAAUGAUAUGCAGUGAAACACAAGGAUUUAUGAUGGCGUCCCAUGACUGAAGAUUAUGAAAAAUAAAUCACUCUUCUAGUUGAUGUAUUUCUGGUUAGAUAUGGACUAAAAUAGUUGUCUACAAGGUGUUUUUGGUUUAUAUUCUCCGCUGUAUGUGAGGAUCGUCUCCAAUAUGUAUGAUUUGGAUUAAUGAAAACAGGUUAUAUA